UAUUCUCUGCGUAGGGUACAGAGGUUAAGAUGUUCUAUCUUUCAGACCUUUUUAAUUCGCUAGUUUAUAGUGAAUAGCCAAAUUAUGGCGCCUCAGCAACUUAGUUUGCUGGGGCUUUUUUUC
rnacentral:other from 1 species